GGGAAUGUUUUGGUUUCGACAAGAUAAAAAGCUCGUUAUUGGCAAGUAGGAGGGAUUCUUUAAAUCCAAUUAAAUAUAAUCGGAAACGAUAAUUACGCAUUAGCUGCCUAGUACGCAGCUUGUCUCCAUAAGGAAUCGCCAUUUUUCUUUUGGAAGACAUCAUACUAAUGGCUUACUUAAAUGUAUGAUUAUAUCAUUUGAGGACACUUUAUAAUCUCGCUUUCAGACUUUUGUCUAUUUAAUAUCUGAAAGUUAAAAAGUUAAAUGGACUAAACUUGUAGAUUGUAGUGAGGACUUUCUAUUUUGGACACGGGUUCGAUUCCCGUCAUUUCCACCA
rnacentral:tmRNA from 1 species